AAAAAGUUUUUCUGAUUUUUGAAUUUUAAUUUUUCUGUAGUGUUUUACACAUCUCGAACGGUAACUGUACUAGUUGAAGCCCAACCAAGAGGUUUGUAUUAUAUUCGAGUGCGUAAAACAAAUCAGUGACGAAAGUUUAAUAAAUUUUAGAUUAUUUCUCGUAGCACUUUAUCUCUUAGAUAAAUGACAUAACAUAGCGACUGACGUGUUGCCUUUUUUUCUACGUCGAACUUCAUUCUAAAUAAAAAAAUGAUUUAAGUGGACUGUCCGAAUUAAUGUUAAAUUCGAAAUAUUUCUGAAAUAAAAAUUUCAGACAGUUUCGAAAUAAAAAUUUUAAAUGUAUCUCGGCUUUUAGAGGGGAACCAAGGGAACGACGGGUGGGAUCUGUAUUUUUUUUAAAAAACCCUAUUGUUAUUGGGCUUAUGCCAUAAAUAUAUUCUUUUAUUACUAGGAGUCGGAACCGAGGUCCAAAAUAUGCAAAUUUUAGCACCAUAAAUCUGAAAAUCACAAGCAGGCAAAGGCAUAAUAAAGCCGGAUUUCCAUUCAAAUUAUUUCAACGCUUGCACAUAAUUUAUUAGCUCUUCUAUGUCUUGGUUUAAUUUCAACUGUUUUCAUUUAUCACAUUUUGCUGCAGCUUGUUUUGUUACAUUCCACCAUGGUUUGAGAAAAAAAGUACAGUGGAAUCUCUCUAAAACAGAGACCAUUGGUGCAAAAAAAAGAGGUUUCGGCUUUAGAGAGAUUGUAUCCAAAAACACUCAGCAAAAUCUUCCACCGAUUUACAAAAAUUUCCAAUUGCGAAAUAACAUGUCGAGCCACAGGGAAGCCUAUAAACAGGGGGGCUGAUUAUGAUCUGGAAAUUUCAGUUUUGUACGAGUUUGUUGGUGUCGUUACAAAUUUUAACAAAUGUUUUUUUUUCAUGCGUCCGCUUUACACAGAACUUUUCCAAGGGAAAAUAUCAUUUGGCGCGAAAAAAAGUGUCCGUUUUAUAAAGUGUCUGCCUUAUAACUGUCCGUCUUAUAGUGAUUUUCUUGUGAGAGUUUGACCUGAAAUCAGUCCGUUCCAAGAAAUAGUGUCCGUUAUAUAGAGGUGUCCGCUUUACACCAUGUCUGCCAUAGAGGGAUUCCACUGUAUUUUUUUAGUCUUCCAAGAAUUUAAAAACUCGUCCUUUCUUAAAAAGAAAGAAAUCUACAUUUUGUAAAAGAAAUUUAUAUUUUUCAAAAAUAUGACUGUCUACCUUUAUGGAAUUAAUUUUCGCGAGAAUUUAAUAGAUUUUGCAAUAAUUUUUGCGAAUGGCGAGAGUGACAAAGUAUUUCGUGAAAAGCGAAAAAAAGUUGCGAAAUUGCGAAAUUUAAUUCCACCCAGCCGGCACAAGACGUCUUUUAGACGUCUUAAGAUGUCUUUUUUUAAUCUUCUGUUAGAAAACGCUAUUAAGAUGUCUUUAAUGCAUCUUCUUAAGAACGUCUUUCAAAAGACAUCUUUUAUACGUCUUUUGAAAGUAAAUAAAUGCGAAUCCUGUAGUAUACGCAUUUUAGAUGUCUUUUAGAAGAUCUUUAAAAGACGUCUUUUAAAAGACAUCUAAAAGUUAUCUAAAAUAUAUCUUUUAAAAGACGUCUUUCUCUUUUUGCUAUAAUGCAUCUAAAACGCGUCUUUUAAAAGACGUCUUUUCCUACUUCUAAAAGUGGUCUAAAAUGCGUCUUUUAAAAGACGUUCGAUUUUUUAUAUGGAAAAUUCGAUUUAAAAUAACGGGGGUGUUCGCAAACUUAGUUAGCAUGUUUAUUUUGUAGGAAAUCAAUUUUUCACGAAAUUGAAAGUGGUAAUUGUCACUUUUAAUUAUUUUUAAAUACUAAUGUAUUUUGGCGACCCUUCAUAAUACGUUUUUAUUUCAUUACGUCGUAAUUUUGUUUUCCUGCACCCCCUGACGGAUAUUCUUUGACACUUGACCAUUGGAACACUCAAUAAAAAUUGGCGGUAGUUUCAUGAAAGCAUCUGCGGGAUACCGGUCGUUUAAAAAGUAAGUAUUUUUGUUUUGUGAUUCUCGGAAUAGAGUACAGCGGUUUUUAGUACUAAGUCUAAAGGUCAAAUUCGUGUUCGGUUUCCCUGGACACAAAAAGUCGGUCCCGGCCAUCUUUUACAGAAAGAUGGCGAUAUGUAAACAAGCAAACCCAGCUAGCCAGCCAGUAGUCAAAAAAAAGGACAAAGACUGGAAAGAAAAUAUUAAAGAAAUCAAAUUUGUUUUCUGGUUUUGGUGUUUAAUGAAGGAACCGUUAUUUUUAUUCUAUAUGCUUUUAUUUUUAGACAAAAACUAUUUCUUUUAACCUUGAAAGAAAUUGAGAAAAUGUAUAUAUUUUGUUUUUGUUAUACACUGCUGAAGCUAGCUAAUUAGUUAUUAGGUAGCACCUAGCUAUAUAGGACGCUAGCUAACUUCAAGCUAAAUGGAAAAUACUGUCUAAUUUUAUCUUUAUCUAACUCUAAUCCUAACCCUGUCUUAUUGCUCUUCGGUACAAACUGUCAAUGGAAGCUCUGCCCUCCGCCUUUCUUCCUUUACCAGUCAAUCAACAAAGUCAAUUUUUCAUAUUUACCAUUCAUGACACUGUCCAGGUCUACUUACCUUUAAUUUUAAUUUUAAUUUUCGUCAGGAUCUUCACCACUACAUUCAUGGCGCAAGCCAAUUUAAAAGGCAAGAAAGACAAAGUCCCGCUGGAAGGGAAAUUAAUUUAUAGAAUUAUAGUAGAAUCUGUCAACGAGCGUUUUAAAGAUGCGAACGAACAAGAGAUGAGACGCAUAAUUGGAACCAAACUUCGAAACGCUCCCAGUCAAAGGAUCAGGGACAUAAGGGGUACCUUAAAUGUAUAAAUUUCCAAAAAACAAAUAAAAAGCCCUUUCGACUUACCUCA